rnacentral:lncRNA from 1 species
CGGAAGUGCCCUGCUGGUGCUGGGAGUAGGGCGCAAGAUGUCGGCGGAUGCAGCUCCGAGGAGGUAGGCAGUGGGAGCCGGCGUUCAGUCCGGCCCGUGCCAACAGUGGUUCCUCUCUCCCCCGUAGUUCGAGGAGACCACGCGCUGCCCCUCUGGCACGAUCGUGGAUGAACCCCCUGGCAACUGAAAUGGGAAAGGCAGCGCCCCCGACUCUGGGGACUGGACCGAAGUCCACGGUAGUGACAGCUGCCAGACCCUGAGGAGAGGACGAGAAGACCCGAGGCCUCUGCUACGAACACUGGCAGCCGAUGGAAAAUUCAGACGGAUUUGGGACAGUAUGCAGAGUUCUCCAAGCGACAGAUUAACAGAGGCUCUUGAAGAAUAACUGCGUAAUCACGUGUUCUGCUCAAAAGAAGGCCUGAAUGCCCAGUGCCUUAUUUGGCUUUCAGGGUUGGUGAAAGAAAAAGCAAAGUAGAUGCUUUCUAAUGCUAAGUCAUUUAAUGUAGCACCAUUCCUUGAACUUCUUUCAUCUCUAAGGUCGUCCCUUUCACCUGAUGAUGACCUUUGGGCCAUCGUACAGGCAUGUGUAAACUUGGAGAUCUUCCUCAACAUUGCACCAUAUCUUGGGUUCAUUCAAGGCAGAGUCUCCUUGCAAAAGCAUUCUAAAACAAUGUAAAGUCGAAGAGAGUAGAGCAAUACCUCCAUAGUUGGAAAAUGUGGAGGAGGCCAAUUAAGGGACAGAAAAAGAAGUGCAGAGAAUCUUGGAAUUGUUGCAAAAUUAUUCUGGAGAUAUUUCUAAGUCUCCUCUAUCCUUUUCCUUAGUGAUUAAUACAGGUUUUUAUAUUAAGUGGACAGUAAAAUCCAAACAGAAAGAGGUAUAUGUCGUAUAAUGAAGCCUAUGUUCAAAGUAUAUCUGAAAUUUGUUUUUAUAAUGUCUUUCUUGAGAGCUUAUAAAGAUGUCAGUAUUCUGUGGGAAACAAAUUGGCACAUGCAUAAAAGAGAAAAAAUGAAAAAAAUCAGGCCCAACUUUCAGUUUACAGAUGAGGAAACUGUGACAUAGAAAAGGAAAUGACAAAGAUCACACUGAAUCAGACCUGGGAACUGGAGCCCAGCCAUGCUCCUUGGCCCAGUGCCUCUUCUUAUUCUAGGAGCUCAUACCCCUUUGAAAGAAACAUAAUAUGAAUGUGUCUUCAAAUGAUGCUCAUAAAUCUCUUCAUCAUACUGAGGGAGGGAGAUAAGGGGAUUAGUUCUUCAGGAUCUAGACAGGCUUUCAAGAAAAUCUUUAGCUGGGUGCGGUGGCUCAUUCGUGUAAUCCCAGCGCUUUGGGAGGCUGAGGCAGGUGGAUCACCUGAGGUCAGGAGUUCCAGAUCAGGCUGGCCAACAGCGUCUCUACUAAAAAUACAAAAAUUAGCCAGGCAUGGUGGCGGGAGCCUGUAAUCCCAGCUACUCGGGAGGCUGAGGCAGGAGAAUCGCUUGAACCUGGGAGGCGGAGGUUGCAGUGAAGUGAGAUCGUGCCAUUGCACUCCAGGGCAACGAGUGAAACUCCAUCUCAAAAAAAAAAAAAAAAUCAUCAUCAUCAUCAUCUUAGCAGAGCUCUCGCUAAAUGAUAAAGACUUGGCAACUGAUAUCCUUUUUUUCAGAGAACUUAAGUAGAGACUGGAUAAUCACUAAUUGGGGUUGUGUUUAAGGGCAUUCAAACCUCUGAAAUCUCUUCCAUCUGCAGGUCUAAUUAUUUGGUUACUCUUUCAGUACAUGUGUGCAGGAAGCAUGGGGGGAAAGAAAACUAAUCCCUCUCCAAAGUCUUCUUUGAAUAGGUAUUAUGUUUGCAUUUUCAUACAUGUUAGUUCACUUAGUCUUCACCAUAGGCUUUCUAGGUUGGUAUUAUUCUUAGUCUACCUAAGAAGUUCACAAAGGUUAGGUGACAUGCUCCAAGCCACACAGAUGAUAGGCGGCACAACCAGAUGAUACUACAGGUCUCCAGAUGAGUGAGCCAAUGAUUACAUAGUUUGUUCCCCAGCCCCUCCCCAGUGUAGGUAAAGUGCCUGCACUGCUCACUGGGUCAUCAGAGCAAGUUGCUCCCACUGCCCUCUUGGUCUAACGGCUAGAAACAAAGCUGCAACAGAGGCCCACUCCUACUAGGAGACAGGCAUUUUAAUUGGCACCUCCUUACAAAGGCUCCAGUGUUCUAGAGCUUUGCAUACAGGAAGAUUCUCGUUGAACAAUGAAGCCAAACCUCGCUUCCAAAAUUCCCAGUUUGGUAGUUCACUGUGGAUGAAGAGGCCGGAGACACCCUUAGACAAGCUGGGACCGUGAUGAUAGGAACCAGUUUGUGAAGGGAGGAGGCUGGGCUAACAGGAUCUAGGGAGAUAGAUGAUAUCUGGACCUUAGGUAGUUCGUGUUACUCAAAGUCAGCAAGGUUUUUGUUGUUUUUUGAGACAGUCUUGUUAUGUUGCCCAGCCUGGAGUGCAGCAGUGCGAUCUCAGCUCGCUGCAACCUCCACCCCGUGGGUUCAAGCAAUUCUUGUGCCUCAGCCUCCUGAGUAGCUGGGACUACAGGUGCGGGCCGCCACACUUGGCUAAUUUUUUGUACUUUUAGUAGAGAUGGAGUUUCACCAUGUUGGCCAGGCUGGUCUUGAAGUCCUGUCCUCAAGUGAUCUGCCUGCCGCAGCUUACCACAAGUGCUGGGAUUACAGGUGUGAGCCACUGCACCUGGCCAAGAUCAUUUGAUGUUCUUGGGUGAAUGGCCACUUUCACCUGGAUCCCACCAAUUUUUGGUGCCCUAGGGAGCAUGAUCCAGAGUUCCCUCAAGACAGAGGAUGUGCUAAAGGCAAACUCCAGAGGUCAUCCUAUCCCCAUGCCUUCCGCCUUUCUAAAGAGAAGCUCUUCUGCCCUGCUGUUACCACUCAGUACUCUAGAUUAAACCUGUUCCCCACGUUCAUUCUGUACCCAUGACUAUAUUUCUGCUUCCUGGAAAGUUGUAGCCAUAGGAAUGAAAAACUCACCAAUCAGUUGUGGUCUUCCUGAGGCAAGUCAGUCACCUUCCUACUCUGGUAUCUUCCAUGGCUACCAGCUGGCCACAGAACCAAGCACUGACUCACCAGCCUCCAGUCUGGUUCCUUUUCAGCCUUUUUGCCACCCCUACAGCCCAUACUACAUCAUCCAUUCUGGCCAUCUCAGAUUCUUCCUUGCUAGCUCCCACCUUUCCCUGCAUCCAGUCCUCUGUACUAUUUCAUCUAUUUGAACACUCUUUUCUCCCUGCAUCCUGGGUCUCCAUUCAAAUCUUCCUCUUCCCUGGAAGUACAGCUUCAGUGGUUAACAUCACAAAGCAAAGCUGACUUCAGCAAACUUUCCAAGACAACCAGGGACCAACACAGUUCAGAUUAAAGGGGAUAAAUAAAGUGGCUUUAAGAUCACUUGUAGUUCAGAGGUCACCCAGGGGAUUAGGAUCUAUGCAGAGACCUGCAGAGCCACGCUGCUUCCCCAAGGGACCCCCUUCAUGCUGCUGGAACUUGCCCUACCCCUCAGGAGAAACUGGGCUGCUGUAGCUGCGUCACGCAGGCGGCUGUGGGCCAGCCCGGAGCAAAACUGUGUUGCUUGGCAUUUCUCCACUUCCUCUCGUGGCCGACGUCAUUCUGUGACUGUGCAGGGAUUCAUGCUCGCCAUUGCACUCCACAG